GCGCUGGGCACGCGUUGUCAGGUACCCCGCUUCCCUGGCGUGUUGUUCGUAGCGCCAACGCCGUGGAUCGCAGACGGCGUUGUGUGCGCGCGUGUUUGCACGGCCUGCGAGACUCUGCGCGGAGUGGCGGCAUGUGCCCCGACUUCGUUGCGGCGUGAACAGAAAGAAGGCAACAUAGUAUUAUUUCUCUUUGCUGUACUCUGCCAGACCCCUCCCUUCCUUCCCCUUGCCACCGGCCGACCCACGCGCACGCGGAGGCUCCUAUUGUUUUCAGUUGGCAUCUUGCGAAUCCCCGUGCAUGCGGCUUCACUGUUGCCCAGCAGCGGAGGAGGACGUACCCACGCCGCAUCGCAGCGCAUUCGUCUCUUCAGCCCUCUUGGCGUGGCUCUCUCUCCAUGUGCCGCUCGCAACCUUUGGCGAUUCGCCGGAUCGCGUGUGAGGGCGGAAGUGAAGCGUUGGAGGAUCUGGAGGAGGAUCUGGGUUUUGUAGAGGUGGUCGAAAGGGCUGCCACCGGUGCACGACCCGUCACAAGCGGGGCGGGGCGCCACUGUUGGUACUAAGCCCAGCCUUCUUUUAUUCUGCUUUUCUUCUCCGCUUGGAUGGCGGCUCUUCCGAGGCCGUAGAUGACCUAGCGACUGCUGCUGUGUACCUCUGCAUCUGCGGGCGCACGCGCUUUCAUAGCAAGACCCUGAGAGCUUGUGGCGACGCCAGCUGAGCGGCCUCACCUUCGCUUGCGCGGGCAGGGCUCAGCACGCUUUCGGUUUUCGCUUUCCGUGUUGCUUUCGUAUUGUUGCGUAGCCGUGACGACAAGGUGACCAGAGGAUGUCCGGGCUACACGAGCGAAGCGGGGCCGCAGAUUCACACAUAUACGAAAAAUUGGGCAAAGGAAGAGCACACUGGCAAGUAGAAGGAGGAGCGAAGCGAACAAUCCCUGUACCCUCUGUCUGCCUCCGCAUCCGGUGUGAAUUCUUGUGUGCUUAUGUAUGCUUGUCUGCGUGUGUCGGUGCUCUGCUUUCGCGGUCUCGCAGAAAGUCAGGAACGCGCACCUUUUCUCUUCUCCGUUUUCUCUUCUCCUUUUUUUGUCUCACCGUCUCCCUCUGACAUGCCAUCACCUCCUGUGUGGUUUACUUCUUUUUCUUUUUGCUCUGUGGGGUUUGGGUGAAACCCAAGCAUCCUCUUCAUCCAUCAUAACUACUGCCGCCCCUUCCUCCUUCCUCUUCUUCGUCUUCCCUCCCUUUAUCCCCAGUCGCCUGUGCGCUGGAUGAUGCACUGAAAACAGUGCAACCCUUCCCUCCCCCCUUUCACCCGGACGAAAUGUGCAACCUCUCGUGUAGUGACACAGCGAUGCAUGCUACAUCAAGCCAGAAAAUGCUUAUACAUCUGCUGUCACACGUGAAACACCCGGACAGGGAUCUUAUACGGACGCAGCACUGCAACGACAAGAAAUGCAGCAGGUCAGGCGGCGCGCACAUCAUACGUGAGGCACGGAGCGCUGAGGGCAAGUCUGCUCGCAUGCCUUUUUUUUGUUUUGCUCCCUGGAAGGGGUGACGAGGGCGCUGUGUUCUCCCAACCGUGCUCUCGCUUGGACGGCUGUUUCUCCUCCCUCCUCUCCUCACCUCCCCCCACCUCUCUCCCUGCCCCCCACCUCUCUGCGUCUCUCUGCUGUUUUCUCCUUUGCCGCCCUUUCCGAUGAAUCCGACACGCCAAAG
rnacentral:misc_RNA from 1 species